GAUGAACGCUGGCGGCGUGCCUAAUACAUGCAAGUCGAGCGAACGGACGAGAAGCUUGCUUCUCUGAUGUUAGCGGCGGACGGGUGAGUAACACGUGGAUAACCUACCUAUAAGACUGGGAUAACUUCGGGAAACCGGAGCUAAUACCGGAUGAUAUUUUGAACCGCAUGGUUCAAAAGUGAAAGACGGUCUUGCUGUCACUUAUAGAUGGAUCCGCGCUGCAUUAGCUAGUUGGUAAGGUAACGGCUUACCAAGGCAACGAUGCAUAGCCGACCUGAGAGGGUGAUCGGCCACACUGGAACUGAGACACGGUCCAGACUCCUACGGGAGGCAGCAGUAGGGAAUCUUCCGCAAUGGGCGAAAGCCUGACGGAGCAACGCCGCGUGAGUGAUGAAGGUCUUCGGAUCGUAAAACUCUGUUAUUAGGGAAGAACAUAUGUGUAAUUAACUGUGCACAUCUUGACGGUACCUAAUCAGAAAGCCACGGCUAACUACGUG
rnacentral:rRNA from 1 species